rnacentral:rRNA from 1 species
UACGUAGGUGGCGAGCGUUGUCCGGAUUUACUGGGCGUAAAGAGCGCGCAGGCGGUCGUUCAAGUCGCGUGUGAAAGCCCCCGGCUCAACUGGGGAGGGUCACGCGAUACUGAUCGACUCGAAGGCAGGAGAGGGAAGUGGAAUUCCCGGUGUAGUGGUGAAAUGCGUAGAUAUCGGGAGGAACACCAGUGGCGAAGGCGACUUCCUGGCCUGUUCUUGACGCUGAGGCGCGAAAGCUAGGGGAGCAAACGGGG